GACCCCGUGGCACCGGGCCCACAAGAGGUAUCCCACACCCAAACCUCAGCACAGCACCGACGAUUCACCAAUUCAUUUCUCCUGCGGCCCACCUAUCCUUUCUCUCCUGUUCUCUCUCUCGCGCUAGAGAACUCCGGCAGCCUCAUGGCACCCCAACAUCCUCACGCGCGCGCGUCGCAGAUUCCCUAAGCGGCGGGCGCGCGCGCUGCCUCGAGCGCGCCUCCGGAGGCGAGCUGCUUCGGAUCGAGGCGUGCUGCGGCCGAUCCAGAUGGUUUGGAGCAGAUUGAAGCGGCUGGAGGAGUUCCUCACGGAGGAUCUCGACAUGGGGCGGAGUUCAAAUCCAGAGCUCUGGAGAUGAAGGAGCUCGAAUCGCCUCUGCCUCAAUCGCGCACCGGCAGCCCUCUCGUCGAUCUGGUUCCCUGCCGCCUCCGCAUCGAUGUGCUGCAAGUGCCACAUUUCUGCAGGGCUGCGAGGUCGUCGUGGCCGAGCAACUGGUGGGCAAGGCCACGGCGAUUGAAGAGGAACCUGGGUGCCUCCAUGAGCCGGGCGAGCACAACGCUACGCUGCCACUCGUCGGUCUCCGGCCAAAAUUGCACACAGGAAAUCAUCAAGUGUUCUUCCCUGUUCAGUCCUAACAUGGCAACAUAAGCUGGAGAUAUCAUUCAGUUGCUGGAAUGGGAAGCCACUGCCAAUGUACGAACAACCACCACUACAUCAUCUCAGACAAGAAUAGAUAGCCUGUGUGGAGUGUGUUGCACAUGUACGAUGAUGCCAAGUAAAAGCAAUUAAUAUGAGCUACUGAGCAAAAGGUGGGAUUGACCAUCAAACUUAAGCUGCAGCCAAGGCUGGUGGAGGGCUAGGUCAUGUGCAUGGAAGCAAAUAUCAAGUACCAAACAGAGAAGCAAAUGUGUUUGCUGUUGUCCUAGUAGUACACAUUGCAAAUACGAGUGUAUUAGUUACGGACAACGCAUUUUUUCCUGUGCUUCUGGUGUGCACAUUUUUCCUGAUUGUGUAGUUAUGAAAAAUGAAUGCUAGUGUGAUGCAGGCAAUAACAUGGUAGGAUCAUUUCUGAGAUGAAACGUGCAGGCAUCAAUAUUUUUUUGUCGUAUCCAUUACGGGGAGCUGGCAAGUGGCAGCGCUGAGGGAGGUUGGGGGAGUGCAUGCACCGAGGACAGCUUUUACCCGAAUAGGAAUGCUUGGGGACUGCUCGUUUAAUUAUUGCCUAAAAGGGUCAGGCCGUACUAGCGGCCUAAUUUACGGCGCUUCCAAUAUAAAAUAGAUUUUAAAUACUGGAAGUUUAUAAGGAAAAAAACUAUCGGAGGAAUCUUGGCGGAUUUGGAUUCGUUGCUGACAAGUUGGAUUGGCUAGUAUUGGAGGUAGAUUGGUUGCUAUGCUUAUUUAUGUGCGGAUUUUAUUUUGGACUUCGCCCACUAUCCGGUUUACAAGUAUAUGACUUAAAUGGACAUUAUUUUCUUUAUAAAAAUAUGAAUGUGUUUAUUUUACUAUUCAUGGGGAUGUUGUAAAUGUGUACAUACUUCAACGGAUUGUUAUUCAGGACAAGGAAGAUAUAUUGAAAAUGUGA